UCAUAAGUUCAGUCACUGAACAAGUGGUCAUUAAGCAAAGACCACCUUUACAUCUAUUUCAAAUAUACCUUUUUUUUUUUUUUAAAAAGUCAACCUUCUAAUAUCAAAGUAUUUUCCUAUGCAAUUUUAUCAAACAUACUUUUCUCUAGCUCAAAGAGGCUACCAGUGAACAACAAUCAAUGGAUCUGUAGACACCACACUUGUGUUGAAGCAAGAUUAGUUACAAACGAUUUCAUAGGAUUUCUGGUUGACUGCAUGUCAAGAUGAAGAAGUACUGAGCAUAUGGCCUCAGUAAAAGUCGUACAACUAUCUCUUGAAAUGGAGCAAACUUCAACAGACAACGGUGUCUUUCCUCAAGUGGCUUCUUUCACUCAACUCUUCUAGAUGGGCCCAGUGGGAGACCAUCAUGCCUCCCCCUUACUUUUACAAUACAGCAAUCAGUUGAAGAACCAGUCCUGAGGAAAUAAAUAACGUUUAAUCGGACUUGAGCCAAGUGCCAAAGAACCACCCCAAUGGAAAUAAUUAGGGCUGGGGGAGGGAGGUUGAGUAGUUAAAGCAAAAGGAUUCUCUUAAGUGCAAUUAAACUUCUAUCACAUAGUGAAUUAUUGCUUCCAA